rnacentral:rRNA from 1 species
UACGUUGGGGGCAAGCGUUGUCCGGAUUUAUUGGGCGUAAAGAGCGUGUAGGCGGCCAAGCAGGUCCGCUGUGAAAACUCGAGGCUCAACCUCGAGACGUCGGUGGAAACCGUUUGGCUAGAGUCCGGAAGAGGAGAGUGGAAUUCCCGGUGUAGCGGUGAAAUGCGCAGAUAUCGGGAAGAACACCCGUGGCGAAGGCGGCUCUCUGGGACGGUACUGACGCUGAGGUGCGAAAGCGUGGGGAGCAAACAGG